UAGAUUGAAGCCCGCUGGAUUGGGUUUUUAGUUGUUAACUAAAGGUUUAUGGGAUCGAGGCCCGUCAAUCUAGG
rnacentral:tRNA from 1 species